UCUUGUUCACUUGAGUGAUGUGAGCAAUUAAGUAAUUAAAGCUUCUUUUUCAACUUUUUUCAAGCACAAGAUCAAUUAGAAAAUAUUCAAGUUUCCAUUAAAAAUAUAAUAGUUUAAAGAUUCUCAAGUUUUUUUAAACAACUGACGAUUUGUACAUCGAUUAAUGACCGUAUCUAGUGCAUUAUUGGAGCAAGUCUAUUUGAAAUAACAUUACUUGUUUUAAGUACCUAUAAUUGAAAGUAACUUAUUAUAUAAUAAGAUUAACCUCAUGUUUUUUGAAAAAAUGUGAAACAUAGUGCCAAGUACAAAGAAACAUAUAGUAUUUAGUCUAAAGCUUAUUUAUUCAAACAAGCACUAAAUUUGAAUGUUUUCUUUGCAUGAUUAUAUAGGAAGAACUGGAGUGCCCAAAUUGUAAGAAAAAAAUGAUUAUAAGAAGGGAUGUCUAACGUAUCGACGGAUACAAAUGGGUUUGUCGAGGAACGAUUAAAAUAAAGGGGAAAAAACCAAGAAAAUGUAAUUUUUCACAAUGCUUGCGGAAAGGAACUUUCUUCGCCAAAUCCAACUUACAGUUGUGGCAAAUUUUAGGAUUUGUUUUACUGUGGACCAGAAAUGUACCGAGCAGUGCAUUGAUGAUAGAGGUGGAAAUAUCUAAAAAUACCGCAGUUGAUUGGGGAUCGUUCUGCAGAGAGGUGGCAUUCCAUGCUAUUUCAGAGCAGAAGGAAAAAAUUGGAGGUGAAGGCCAUGUACAGAUUGACGAGUCAAAAUUCGGAAAAAGGAAAUAUAAUCGAGGAAAAAGAGUAGAAGGGCAAUGGGUCUUUGGGGGGAUUGAUGUUGGUACUGGCCACUGUUUCAUGGAAGCAGUGGAAGACCGAUCUUCCCGAACACUUAUCCCAAUCCUUGAAAAAUAUGUCCUUCCUGGAACCACUGUGGUUUCGGAUUUGUGGAAGGCAUAUGACUGUUUGGAGGAGAGAGGGUUUUAUCACCUUACCGUCAAUCAUAGCUUGAGCUUCAAAGACCCAGUUACUGGUGCUCAUACCAAUAAUAUUGAAGCAUCAUGGAAUGCUGUGAAGACCGCUUUACCAAGAUACCAUAGAAAAAAGGCAUUUUUCCCCGGCUAUCUGGCCAAAUACCUGUUCCUGAAAGGGUGCAAAUCACAAGGAAAAAACCCUUUCAUUGAAUUUUGCAAGGCUGCCGGAAGUCUCUACAAGCCUGAAAAUACAAUGGUUAUGGAGCAAGAUGUAGAGAUCGAAGAAAUCGAAGAAGUUGAUUUCAAUUAGAAUAUCAUUCUACAAAUUAAUUUCCCAUUUUCCCAUUAGUUUCUUUUUUGUUAUGUUUUUUCAACUGAUCAUGUUUAAGUUUCUCCCUCAUAUUUCUUCAAUUCUUUUAAAUUCUCCUCCAUCUUGUUCAUUAUGCACCAUUGAUCCUGUACCUAUCAGUAUACCAGUACCAGUAUAUAUAUCAUCAUGAAAUUCAUCAUUUUCAAGUUCAAGAUUGACACGACUGCACAUUAUGAAGCGUCUGUUCAAUUCUCAAUUUACACGCCAUGAUUGAUAAAUUUCUAUAAGCCUGCCUCAUAAGGAGUCUGCGAUCCUUAUGUUUCAAGGAGAAAGACGAUGAUCGUGAUGCACCACAAAAGUUGGGUACAAUUGUGGGGAAGAACCAGAACAAUCCGUCAUCUGGAAGGCUCAUACCAUGAAAGAGAAAUAAUUUCCUUUCUUGGGUGGAGUGUAGGCAGUUUAGUGGGUAUGCGCCCAGUUUUGCUUUUUCAACAAUAGUAGAUAUACCUUCAGCAUCCAAUAUAUAUAUUCCAUUGUUGAACAAGCAAAUCAGGGAAAGUGAGUCCCACACAUGGUGAUCCCAUCUUUCAGAUGAGAGCAUUAUAGUGCAUAACAGCAUUCUGCCGUCUCGUUUGAAAAAACGAGUAAAACAAAA